UACAGAGGUCUCAAGCGUUGUUCGGAUUCAUUGGGCGUAAAGGGCGCGUAGGCGGCCCGAUAAGUCAAAGGUGAAAUCCCUCGGCUCAACUGAGGAACUGCCUUUGAAACUGUCGGGCUUGAGGCCGGGAGAGGGUAGCGGAAUUCCCAGUGUAGCGGUGAAAUGCGUAGAUACUGGGAGGAACACCGGUGGCGAAGGCGGCUACCUGGACCGGUUCUGACGCUGAUGCGCGAAAGCGUGGGUAGCAAACAGG
rnacentral:rRNA from 1 species